rnacentral:lncRNA from 1 species
CCUAAUUGAAGGCACAAAAAGUCUGCCCAGAGAAACGUCUGUUUUGCAUACCUCACGGGCCUAAAAAAGUCAUCAUGCAAUUUUUAGCACGGAAUCGACCUCUGAAUUGAUUUACCUAGUAGCGACACGAAUAGUCCUUCCCUUAUCGAGGGAAGUCGGGUUCCUUCUCUUCUCUCUACCCACCCAUGGCUCGUUUCCCGGAAGUGCCCCACUCAGCAAACUCUCAAACCUUUCACGGGGGGAUAGCACAGUACUUCGGGCCCUGAGCGCGAACGAACAGCUCCUUCAUCUCUGAGGGACAACUCCUUCACUUUUUUCAAGCCCUCUCCUUCCUAACCUUAUAGCCUUGGGCAAUUCCCUCUGCCUCUGAAGAAGCUCCUUAGUGGUUGAGAACGGAAAAGCUUAGCCUUUUUUGUUUUCCUUCUAGGCGGCCCAUUUCAGACUUGAAACCGAGCCUUCUAAACCGGUUGGUUGGUAGUGGCAUAUGUGUUUCGUGGAAGCCCACCUACCUCUCAGAGUAAGCAUAUACCUUAGACUUCUCAUUUCCUUCAUCCUUCGUAAUGUGCCCGCCGGCACAGCCUCCCGCGCUGCGAUAUACCUCGGGACUCCUGUGAGUGACAACAUGGGGUUUUCGAUUGCGUUGGUGUUCAAUGAGUAAACAUAGCACAACCAAUGAUUUCGAUGUAAAGGAGGGUAUAUAACAUUACAUCCCUUCCACACUGAGCCUAAAACUUGAGAAAAGCCCUGUGUCAAGGUUGAUUUGGGACUCAGGCGAUGACAUCAAGUUUCGAUGUUUGGCUAGUAUUUGGAGCCCCUCGUUCGUACUCUCCUAUCUCCUGGGAAAGAAAAUAGUAGUACAUUUCCCGCUCGUUCUGCAAUGAUCAUAGAAAUGAAAGAUUUUGGCCGGUCGAUAUAAAGUUCUCUUUCAAGAUUGGUUUGUUACCUCGUGAUAUAAAACUUCAUGAGCCUUCUGUGUCUGGGGAGACAACAAGGACUCCAAAGAUCCGGGUACGGUCUCAAGAUCAACACUUCCAUCCGAGUACACACUAAUAUGUAUAUCUGCAUCUCUACCCGCAUUAGCCGAAUCUAAAUCCAAAGGGUAGGAAGCUUGAGCAGCAGAGACAAACGUGGCUUUAGGCCUACUCGGUUUGUUCACCUGGAAGAAUGAGCAAAGGCACUAGGCGCGGUCCGGUCCUUUUCCGAAGAGUCUCAAGGUCUGCCCAUAGAAAACGCAACUUGGCAUCCCUCAUGUAUGUUUUUUCAAUGCGUCGUGCCGCCGGAAUCGACCUCUGAAUAGAUUUGCCUAAUNNNNNNNNNNNNNNNNNNNNGAGAAGUGCGUAAGCACGGAGCGAGCCAAAGAGCGAGCCAAAGAGUAAAUGCGAGUUCAGUAUACGUUUUCUUGCUGGGCGCGCUAGCUGCGAAGAAAACUACGUGUAAAAUAGCAAACCAACGAAUGCACUUCGACGCGAAGACAAGCAAGAAAAUGGAUGCGCUAGCGGCACGUUAGCGCCCUUGCUUCUUGCAAGAAAAAGGAUGCGCUAGCGGCAACGAAUUGAACUUCAAACUCUUCCUCUUUCCCAUUUUACCGGCCGGAAAGAUAAUAAGCCGCUGCUAUUAAGGAGCGAAGAAAUAAUAGCGCGC